AUGAAAAAGGGACCGUUGCAUUUUUUGGGUCGAAAGAACCAGUCUCUCUUCGACACCAAUAUUAAAAUCAAGAAGAUGGACAAUGUUGAGCUGGUGUUGGAUUCAUCAGCCAUUCCUGAAUCAGGCACUGCCAAAGUGAGGUCCAGACCCGCAGUCAAGCACUACAUGUCCUCCUCUGAUGUUGUGCAAGGGUUUGCUGUCCCAACCCCCAAAGUUCCUGUCCUCCCCCCUUUCAACAGUCCAAAGAUCAACAGGGCAGUAAAUGACGAUCGGUUUUUCAAUGGAUCGGCUAUAUCUGUGCCCGAUUUGGUGGAUGGGGAGAUAUUUAUUCCACCUCCCCCUACAAUGGCACCCCCACCCCCCCCACCCAUGUUCAUCCCUCCCCCACCAGAUUUCAUGGGUGACUUGGACACCCUUCAGCCUCCCUCCAUGCCCCCUCCAAAACCUCCAUCAGUGGUUCUGUCUAAAGAGUACGAGGAUUUCACCUCCCUGAAACCUCCACUAAUGCGCCCCCCGAAACCCCCGUCAACUUCCUCCAGUGCUUCUAGUUCAUCUUUGUCCAUUUCUAUACCAACACCAGUCCCUGAUUUUACUGAGCCCCCAAAGUUUGCCCCUCCACAGCCCCCUAUAGACAUGAGACAAGCUGCUCUGAAAGCCCUGAAGACCCCGCCUCCAAAGCCAACAAGGCUGUCCUCCAUCCACAGCAUGGACGAAGCCUCCCAGGUUCCAGCCCAAGCUUCCCCAGUACAGACCCCAACACCCUCCAGCUUCAACCCCCAGAACACAGCUAAGCUGGUCAAGCAGGAAGCGUCUCCAGGCCGGAAUAACAAGUUCAGUCCUAUGCUGGACAGUAACCUACGCAACCUGAAGGCCAGUGAUGUCACUGGGAUGAGGGGGGACGGUCCUGCCGCUUCCCCCCUGGCUCUUCUCAUGGCGGCUAAAGAGCGAGGCAGGCACAGGUCCAGUCUUUCCCUUGAAAACAGCACGAAGAGUAAUGAGCCAUUAGCCAGCAUCCAGCACAGGGAAUUCAAUCCCAAUUCUUUCACCGUCAUCCCUAGGGCCACCUCAUUCACUUCUGUAACCUCACAACAUAAACCACAGUCUGUGGUCCCACUGGAGGCCACAGUGGUAAUCCAGAUUCCAGCAAAACCCCAGAUUAUUGAGUCAGCGGUGAAGGGGCCAAUUGCAAAUCCAGUAGUUAAAAGGAUUCUGCCCACCUCUAGAUCCUCAUCCUCCAGCAGUCUAGCCAUGGAUAAGCAAAGUGGAGAGCAGAGGAUUGAUUCACCCUCUAGCCUUUUCAGGGAUGACGAGAACCUAUGCAUGCCAUUACUCCCUCCCCCUCCCGAAUUCGAUGACCAUGAUGUCGUGGACUCUCCUCCCAGCUCACCUCCACCUGACCCUCCACUGAAGAAGGUCCUGCCUCCCACUCCCAGCCCUGUCCUUCCAGUCCUGUCCUCUAAUGCCAACCCUGUCCUUCCUGUCAAAACUCCCUCGCCUCCCCCUCCAAAACCUAAAUCUCCAAGCCCUCCCAAAUUCCCACCUCCUGCCAUGGAGAUCAAACCCAAACUGCCUGUUCAGAUCAAACCCAAGCCGCCUCCCACCCAGGCCCUCUCCUCCCUCUCAGCCAGCCAGGCCACACUCCAGAGCAUCCUGCAGAAGAAGAUGCUAGAGAUGGACUGCAAAAUGGACAACAAAAUGCUGGCCAUGAAGGAAACAGACUCUGAUGACUGGGGUUCUCCCUUGUCUGAUGAGGAGACCAAGUUCCCAGUUGUCCCCAGAGUCACCCCGAAAAACCCUGUUAUCACUACAAAGAGCAAGAGUGCCACUGUGCCAGCCACAACACAAGGACUUGACAUGAAGGAGCUGGAGACAAAAAUGGCCAUGAAAGGUCAGGGUUUGUCAGAGCCAUCAAGAGUUCCCACAAGCAAUGGGCCACGGUCAAAGCAGGCGUAUGGCAUGACUUUCAUGGUACAACCCGGAACCAAACAACCAAUCACUGUUGUCAGCAAAUGAGGAUCCAACUCAAUUAUACCACAUACUGUACCAUACAGCCCCUGUCAAGAGCAAGGACAAUGGAAAGAGAGCACCUUAAAUACUGCUAAAAAUGGAUAUAUCCAAUAAAACACUAAGCAUGUAUGCCAAGGAUGUUUUCACCAAGCCCCUGGAGAGAAUACAAGGUGCUAAGCAUUUGUCUAGAAAAUGUUUUGCUGUACCACAGCACAUAAACCUGCCCCCCAGAGGUGGUGUCAAAUAGCUUCUUGUCUAGGUGCCAAAGUCUAGAGUGAGUGGACUGUUGGAACAGCUUUCAACAGUAUCUUUGACUGCUACGGUUUAAUCAGUGCUAGUACACAUUGCCUUAUUUUUUUACCUAAUAGAUUCAAAGCAGAUUGUGAGGCUGUAAUUUGCCAGCCUUAAUAUACACUGAAUAAUGUCAUGCAUCAUAAGGAUAUUUGUAUAAAUGUCUUGAAGAAUUACUAUACGGAUGUGUACAGAUUGUUUUUGCUUAUGUUUCCAUUGUGUCACAGUACCUGUACAUUCUGUAUAUUUUUAGAGCAAUGUAGGUAAUUUAACUAGUCUACUACAAUACAUUAAGAACAAAUGUAUAUUGUUCACUAUAUUAUACUUGAGUGCAACAACUAUGUAAACUGUUUAUCUUUUGAUCUUCUACUUCAGUCAGGUGAGCAAGAUAUGUUCCAUAUAAUGGAAGACUAAAUAGAAGCAAAACAGAUGUCAGCCAUUUACCACAUAAGGACAGAAGUAAUAUGGUCUGUAGAACCUACAGUGGUCAGUUUAUUAGGUACACCAGCCCCAUUCCCUAAAAUAGUUUGCUCCUAUAGACAGUCAAGCGGCUGUGGUUUGUUAUAUAACUGAACAUUAGAAAUGGGCAGAAUGAGUGACCUAAGCAACUAUGAGCGAGGUAUGAUCAUCGGUGACAGGUACACCGGUUCCACUAUAUCAGAAACAGCCAGCCUCCUGGGCAUGUCAUACGACAGUGUCUAUGGUUUACUGAGAAUAGUGCGACAAACAGAUCCAGUCAGCAGCAGUCCUGUGGGCGAAGACAGGUCGUUGAGAGGUCGGAGGAGAGUGGCAAGAAUCGUGCAAGUUAACAGGCAGGACACAAACCGACAAAUAACGGCACAGUACAACAGUGGUGUGCAAACAGCAUCUCAGGACACACAACUAGUCUGUCCUUAUAGUAGCAGACGACCACACCAGGUUCCACUCGUAUCAGCUAAAGCAGGUCCAGUGGGCACGCAAUCAACAAUUGAGUGGAAAUUAUAUUUCAGAUGGUGUCAAUUUAAUUGAUUAAUUUUGGAGUAGAACGUUCUUAAGUCACCAGGAGGAACCUAAACAGUUCAAAUAAAUACACUAGGUAUGCCCCUGCACACUACUUUAGCCAUUGUGUCUGUCAUUACUAAAGCUGCUCAUUUAUACAAAAAUAAAUAUUGUUUAUAAUGUAGUUAAACCAUGAUGUAUCAAGGCUGUUGAUACCUCCUGACAGGAGUGUAAGUUGACAUGACCAUCUGAUUUUUGGCAACUUUGGCAUGUUCCAAGUCCUUUUAGAAUGAUUUGGCACAAAAGCCACCACCUUCAGAAACAAUUGAAACUACAGUGCCUUGCGAAAGUAUUCGGCCCCCUUGAACUUUGCGACCUUUUGCCACAUUUCAGGCUUCAAACAUAAAGAUAUAAAACUGUAUUUUUUUGUGAAGAAUCAACAACAAGUGGGACACAAUCAUGAAGUGGAAUGACAUUUAUUGGAUAUUUCAAACUUUUUUAACAAAUCAAAAACUGAAAAAUUGGGCGUGCAAAAUUAUUCAGCCCCUUUACUUUCAGUGCAGCAAACUCUCUCCAGAAGUUCAGUGAGUAUCUCUGAAUGAUCCAAUGUUGACCUAAAGGACUAAUGAUGAUAAAUACAAUCCACCUGUGUGUAAUCAAGUCUCCGUAUAAAUGCACCUGCACUGUGAUAGUCUCAGAGGUCCGUCAAAAGCGCAGAGAGCAUCAUGAAGAACAAGGAACACACCAGGCAGGUCCGAGAUACUGUUGUGAAGAAGUUUAAAGCCGGAUUUGGAUACAAAAAGAUUUCCCAAGCUUUAAACAUCCCAAGGAGCACUGUGCAAGCGAUAAUAUUGAAAUGGAAGGAGUAUCAGACCACUGCAAAUCUACCAAGACCUGGCCGUCCCUCUAAACUUUCAGCUCAUACAAGGAGAAGACUGAUCAGAGAUGCAGCCAAGAGGCCCAUGAUCACUCUGGAUCAACUGCAGAGAUCUUACAGCUGAGGUGGGAGACUCUGUCCAUAGGACAUCAAUCAGUCGUAUAUUGCACAAAUCUGGCCUUUAUGGAAGAGUGGCAAGAAGAAAGCCAUUUCUUAAAGAUAUCCAUAAAAAGUGUUGUUUAAAGUUUGCCACAAGCCACCUGGGAGACACACCAAACAUGUGGAAGAAGGUGCUCUGGUCAGAUGAAACCAAAAUUGAACUUUUUGUCAACAAUGCAAAACGUUAUGUUUGGCGUAAAAGCAACACAGCUGAACACACGAUCCCCACUGUCAAACAUGGUGGUGGCAGCAUCAUGGUUUGGGCCUGCUUUUCUUCAGCAGGGACAGGGAAGAUGGUUCAAAUUGAUGAGAAGAUGGAUGGAGCCAAAUACAGGACCAUUCUGGAAGAAAACCUGAUGGGGUCUGCAAAAGACCUGAGACUGGGACGGAGAUUUGUCUUCCAACAAGACAAUGAUCCAAAACAUAAAGCAAAAUCUACAAUGGAAUGGUUAAAAAAUAAACAUAUUCAGGUGUUAGAAUGGCCAAGUCAAAGUCCAGACCUGAAUCCAAUCGAGAAUCUGUGGAAAGAACUGAAAACUACUGUUCAAAUGCUCUCCAUCCAACCUCACUGAGCUCGAGCUGUUUUGCAAGGAGGAAUGGGGAAAAAAUGUCAGUCUCUCGAUGUGCAAAACUGAUAGAGGCAUACCCCAAGCGACUUACAGCUGUAAUCGCAGCAAAAGGUGGUGCUACAAAGUAUUAACUUAAGGGGGCUGAAUAAUUUUGCACACCCAAUUUUUCAGUUUUUGAUUUGUUAAAGUUUGAAAUAUCCAAUAAAUGUCCUUCCACUUCAUGAUUGUGUCCCACUUGUUGUUGAUUCUUCACAAAAAAUACAGUUUUAUGUUUGAAGCCUGAAAUGUGGCAAAAGGUCGCAAAGUUCAAGGGGGCCGAAUACUUUCGCAAGGCACUGUAUAAUUACCCUGGACUGCCUUCCCUGAAUUUCUAGUUUUAAACAUUGAAUUAUGCCAAAUAUACCAGUACAAAGGUCAGGGCACAGGCCACUCCUUUGUAUUGUUAUUUUACAUGUGAUAAUAAAAAUGUAGUAAAGUGACUAUUUAGUUUCUACCAAAUUGUCUGAGAAUAAUUUCCUACAGAGGUCUAAAGUUCAGUCAGAUUCAAGUGCUCGGAAAACCAACAGCAACUCAUGACUAUACAGUAUUUAGACAUACUUUAUUCAAGGAUGGAAAAACAAGUAGAUUCAGUUAAGUAACUCUGCUCGGAUUUCCAAAAAGCAACACCAGACAUGUACUGUACUUUCUGUUUCUGGCACACAUGAGACGAGACCAUCUAAACAA
rnacentral:lncRNA from 13 species